UACGUAGGGGGCAAGCGUUGUCCGGAAUCAUUGGGCGUAAAGCGCGUGUAGGCGGUCCGGUAAGUCCGCUGAUGAAAGCCCCGGGGGCUCAACCCCCGGAGGGUCAGCCGAUACUGGCAGGCUAGAGUACGGAAGAGGAGAGUGGAAUUCCGUGGAUGUAGCGGUGAAAUGCGCAGAUAUCAGGAAGAACACCUAUGGCGAAGGCAGCUCUCUGGGACGGUACUGACGCUGAGACGCGAAAGCGUGGGGAGCGAACAGG
rnacentral:rRNA from 1 species